GUUGAUAAGAUACUUGGAUGGAUUUCAUUUAGACAAGCUGAUAAGAUACUUGGAGGUAUAAACUUUCCUCUACAACUGAGAAGGUUAACCUUGAGUGGUUGGAAGCUUCCUUCGAGUGAUAUGUCAAUCGUUGGUUCAUUACCUAAUCUUCAAGUGCUUAAACUAAGAAAUUUCAAAAGGAUAGACUGGGUAACAUCUAAUGGAGAAUUUCGUGAGCUCAGACUUCUGCUAACCGAUCAAUCCGAUUUGGUUUUUUGGAUAACAAAAGCUAGCCACUUCCUGAGACUCGAGUGCCUAAUGCUUCAUGGGUGUCUUGGUCUACCUGAGAUUCCAAGUAAUAUUUUAUUAUCGGCAGAAAAGAUACAAAAGAAACAAUGGGAUUCAGGAAAGUGUACCUUUCUAGUUCGUGUGAAGCGUUCCUGAUAUAUAUGCUGCUCUUUCAAAUCCAGAGCGGUUUUCAAGUAUCUGCAAUCGGCAUUUACUAAAGAGGCAGAGUGCGGAAGGAAUGCUCUCUCGUUGGAUAACCUCUUAAUUGGCAAAUCACGCAAGGGAGCAUCGAGGAUGUUUUCUGAAACACUGGUCCUGAAAACAAGAGACUGCAUCCGUGUGGAAGAGCGGAUUCCAUUUGGCGAUAUUAACGUAAGACCACGAAAAAGGCUGAUGAAAUCCGAGUUCUAAACCACAUCUGUGCGUGCUGGAAAGUUUCAGAAACAUAUUCAGGAAUGCAGGAGCUCAGCCUCUCGUGCUUUCUCUCUCUCUCUCUCUCCAUAUGAUGCUUUCAGAGAUGGUUAGCUGGCUAA